CUUCAAGAUAGCUUCUUGCCUCACAACAUGAGAACUUACCUGUGCGCCGCUCUUUUGGUCGUGGUGAUGCUGGCGGUGGUGUCAAUGGUGACUGCGGACCCUGAGCCUGGGUAUGGUGGCGGACAUGGUGGCUAUGGGUAUGGUGGCCACGGAGGAGGGUAUGGCGGAUAUGGAUAUGGUGGAUACGGCCAUGGCGGAGGAGGAAGAGGCGGAUAUGGAUACGGCGGUUAUGGUUAUGGCCGAUAAUCUGAAAAUCAAGUGGAUUUAGAGACCUCUUUGUGUCACUGAAAUACGGUCAUGUCUUUCUGCUAUACCUGAUCCCCUGCACUAUUACCUAACUUUACAUAUUCAUCCAAUAAAGUUUUUUUUCUUUUUUGAAA
rnacentral:lncRNA from 1 species